CUAAUUUGCUUUCACUUCCGUUUUCUUCAUUAGACACGUAUGGGCACGGAAAAGGUAAAGAAGAACUUCUUGGUAACACCAGUAACUGAACCUUGCAGUAAAUCAGUCCAGCUGCCACAGCUUGUUGGGUCUGUUUGUGUAAAGAUCUGAAUUCCACUAUGAGUCAGUCUGAAGAGAAAGAUGGAGGGAGAAAAGGAGUCCAGGCCCCCAGCACCACUCUGUCUGUGGAACGGGAUGGCCAGACAGAAGCUGAGAGAAUUGAGCAGGAAAGAGCAGAACCUGCUUCACCAACCUGUGUGUCCAUGAGGAGUAACCAUUCCAUGGAUUGGCCUGUUUCUUUCAGACAGGAAGAUUCAAA